rnacentral:rRNA from 1 species
GAUGAACGCUAGCUACAGGCUUAACACAUGCAAGUCGAGGGGAAACGACAUCGAAAUCUUGCUUUUUAUGGUCGUCGACCGGCGCACGGGUGAGUAACGCGUAUCCAACCUGCUCAUCACUUGUGAAUAACCUUGCGAAAGUAAGACUAAUACCCAAUGAUAUCCCACGAAGGCAUCGGAAUGGGAUUAAAGAUUUAUCGGGGAUGGAUGGGGAUGCGUCUGAUUAGCUUGUUGGCGGGGUACCGGCCCACCAAGGCAACGAUCAGUAGGGGUUCUGAGAGGAAGGUCCCUGACAUGGGAACCGGGACCAGGGCGAAACUCAUACGGGCGGCAGUAGUGAGGAAUACUGCACAAUGGGAGAGAGCAUGAACCAGGGAAGUAGCGUGCAGCAAGACGGCCCUAUGGGUUGUAAACUGCUUUUAUAAGGGAAUAAAGUGCGUUACGUGUGACUUUUUGAAUGUAACUUAUGAAUAAGGACCGGCUAAUUACGUG